CCUACGGGGGGCAGCAGUGAGGAAUAUUGGUCAAUGGGCGGGAGCCUGAACCAGCCAAGUCGCGUGAAGGAAGAAGGUACUUAGUAUUGUAAACUUCUUUUGUCGGGGAACAAAGGCGGAGACGCGUCUCCGGAUGAGUGUACCCGAAGAAAAAGCAUCGGCUAACUCCGUGCCAGCAGCCGCGGUAAUACGGAGGAUGCGAGCGUUAUCCGGAUUUAUUGGGUUUAAAGGGUGCGUAGGCGGAUCGUUAAGUCAGUGGUCAAAUUGAGGGGCUCAACCCCUUCCCGCCAUUGAAACUGGCGUUCUUGAGUGGAAGAGAAGUAUGCGGAAUGCGUGGUGUAGCGGUGAAAUGCAUAGAUAUCACGCAGAACCCCGAUUGCGAAGGCAGCAUGCCGGCUUCCGACUGACGCUGAAGCACGAAAGCGUGGGGAUCGAACAGGAUUAGAUACCCCAGUAGUC
rnacentral:rRNA from 1 species